UCAGAUACAAGCGGAAUUUUAUUAUCUAACAGAAUCACAGAUAAAUGAAAUAGCUGACUUGAGCUUUCUGAUCGAGAGCCCCGUGGCCAUGGAUAUCAAGAAGAGUCACAGAUCCAGGUUCCUCUCAGAGCAAGUAACCUUCUUGAAGUUUUAUGGAGGCCAGAAAUAAAAUAUCACAUCCAGCCAGCCACAGAAUUGCGGCUGGACCUCUGUACAUGAGUUUCCUUGAGAGGGGACCCAACUUGGAUUAACAAAUGAGCAUGAGAGCCAUCUCAAGUAUACCGGAUAAAUCACAGGCAUGAAUUUUAACAGCCUUUCUGCAAGCUAGCUCUACAAGCUUUGUCACUCCAUUUUCUAGCCAAUGUUUUCCCCUCCAAGAGUUUGUUGACUGCCUAGUGCCUAAGCUCUAUGCUAGAAUUAAACAAUUCACACUUGGGAAAAGGACCAAUGUGGGACUAGAAAGAAUCCAAGGGCAGAUCAAGUCAUCAUAGGAAUGUUUUAUUUAUCAAAUAUAUUUAUGUUUCUUGGCCAAUUAUCUCUAAAUGUGUUUUUCAUUUAAACACAAUCGAAUCCUGGUAGAUUCUGUCAUAAGAGUACAGUUGCAUGCAUGAGUUCAUUGGUUCUUGGUAGUUUUUUAAGACGUGAGUUUCAUAAGUUUCUUUAAAAAAAAAAACAAGCAAACUGUUCACCACUCUAAUGCCAGGAUAAUUGUUCUUGCCACAUCAGUGGCCUCUAGAGCAAGGGAUUCUCAUCAUUCACAGUAAGCUUCUCGUCAUUCUCUUGACUGAACUUGUUAAAACUUUUCAAACCUCAAAAAUCAAGACUGAAAUAGAGCCCUAACUCUAGCAUUUUCUUUGUGGGGAAGCUGAAGAGAGACAUAUUUUUAUUUCAGUGAGAACAUUUACAGUAAAUUUUAAUUAGCAUAUGAGGGAAAUCUAUACAAUGCCUUGAUAGCAACUAAAUAUCACACUUUUAUUCAGUUCCGUUCCAUUGCCCAGUCGUGUCUGACUCUUUGCAACCCCACGGACUGUAGCACACCAGGUUUCCCUGUCCAUCACCAACUCCCA
rnacentral:lncRNA from 1 species